rnacentral:rRNA from 1 species
CUAAACUUUUAGUAGUGGCGACCGGCGCGACGGUGAGUAACACGUAUCCAACCUGCCUCAUACUCAGGGAUAGCCUUUCGAAAGAAAGAUUAAUACCCGAUGUCAUAGUCCUACCGCAUGAUGGGAUUAUUAAAGAAUUUCGGUAUGGGAUGGGGAUGCGUUCCAUUAGUUAGUUGGCGGGGUAACGGCCCACCAAGACAACGAUGGAUAGGGGUUCUGAGAGGAAGGUCCCCCACAUUGGAACUGAGACACGGUCCAAACUCCUACGGAAGGCAGCAG